rnacentral:rRNA from 1 species
UACGGAGGGUGCAAGCGUUAUUCGGAUUGACUGGGCGUAAAGCGCGCGUAGGCGGCUUUUUAAGUCUGAUGUGAAAGCCCUCGACUCAAUCGGGGAAGUGCAUUGGAUACUGAGAAGCUAGAGUUCAGGAGAGGAGAGCGGAAUUCCCGGUGUAGAGGUGAAAUUCGUAGAUAUCGGGAGGAACAACGGAGGCGAAGGCGGCUCUCUGGACUGAUACUGACGCUGAGGUGCGAAAGCGUGGGGAGCAAACAGG